rnacentral:rRNA from 1 species
UACAGAGGUCCCAAGCGUUGUUCGGAUUCACUGGGCGUAAAGGGUGCGUAGGUGGCUUGGUAAGUUCGAUGUGAAAUCUCCGGGCUUAACCCGGAAAUGGCAUUGAAUACUAUUGAGCUGGAGGUUUGGAGGGGGACUGGAAUUCUCGGUGUAGCAGUGAAAUGCGUAGAUAUCGAGAGGAACACCAGUGGCGAAGGCGAGUCCCUGGACAACACCUGACAC